rnacentral:misc_RNA from 1 species
UCAAACUUGGUCAUUUAGAGGAAGUAAAAGUCGUAACAAGGUCUCCGUUGGUGAACCAGCGGAGGGAUCAUUAGCGAGUUCAGCACUCCUACAUUCCCGCGAACCUGUCCCGAGUGAAGCGUUGCCUCGGCCGGGGGCCCCAGGGCGGGGUGCUGAGCCUGGCCAAGCCAGGUCCCGGCCGGCGGCGGAAAGUCCCGAGGAUUUUUUUUUUUUCCGUUCUUCCAUCUUUUUAUUUUAUUUUAUUUUAUUUUUUUCUUCUUCGCCCCAUGCGGCUGCUCUGAGUACAUGUGGGCGGUAAUUCGUGAACAACUUUCAACAACGGAUCUCUUGGUUCUGGCAUCGAUGAAGAACGCAGC